rnacentral:rRNA from 1 species
GACAGAGGGGGCAAGCGUUGCUCGGAAUUACUGGGCGUAAAGGGCGCGUAGGCGGUUUAUCAAGUGAGAUGUGAAAUCCCCGGGCUUAACCUGGGAACUGCAUCUUAAACUGGUAAGCUGGAGUACUGUAGAGGACAGUGGAAUUUCCGGUGUAGCGGUGAAAUGCGUAGAGAUCGGAAGGAACAUCAGUGGCGAAGGCGACUGUCUGGACAGAUACUGACGCUGAGGCGCGAAAGCGUGGGGAGCAAACAGG